AAGAGCAGGGACUGGUAACCCGUGUAUAUUGUGGUUAAAAACAACCAAAGGGUAUCCUUUUGAUCUCAAUAUAAGAUCGGAGAUAUCCCCUUCUCAUACCUCAGCAGUUGGGUUUAUCAGCUGUUCUGUAGCUGGAAUGUAUCGCCUGCACUGCAGGUACGGAGAAUACGUAACACAGCGCAGGACCGUUAAGUAUGCCCAACUUCAAUAAGCCCAUUGCCGCACUGUACGCACUGUCUUAUAUAUCUUUUAUCGCAUCAGGUCCGCCCAGCCCUCUGACAUCCGCAUCUCCCCUAAUGCAGAGUAACCAGAAAGGUCCUUCUAUAUGUAACCCGAAACCUUGUCAGGGGCCGACCUAGGACAGUAGCUGAACUUCACCUCCCAGCGGAUAGAGAAAACAUCCUGAAAAAACGGAAUAAGAGAAAA